rnacentral:rRNA from 16 species
CCUGGUGGUUCUAGCGAGGAGCCUGAACCCGUUCCCAUCCCGAACACGGCCGUUAAACUCCUCAGCGCCAAUGGUACUCCGUCUCAAGACGCGGGAGAGUAGGUGCCGCCAGGC